GGAAUAUUGCACAAUGGGCGAAAGCCUGAUGCAGCAACGCCGCGUGUGCGAUGAAAGCCUUCGGGUCGUAAAGCACUUUUCUGGGAGAUGAGAAAGGACAGUAUCCCAGGAAUAAGUCUCGGCUAACUACGUGCCAGCAGCCGCGGUACAACGUAGGAGGCGAGCGUUAUCCGGAUUCACGGGGCGUAAAGCGCGUGCAGGUGGUUCGGUAAGUUAGGCGUGAAAUCUCCCGGCUCAACUGGGAGAGGUCGUCUAAUACUACCGGACUUGAGAGCAGAAGAGGAAGAUGGAAUUCCCGGUGUAGUGGUGAAAUGCGUAGAUAUCGGGAGGAACACCAGUGGCGAAGGCGAUCUUCUGGUCUGUUUCUGACACUCAGACGCGACAGCUAGGGUAGUAAAC
rnacentral:rRNA from 1 species